CAUAUAAAGAUCCAAAUCUGACUUUUCACAUGAAUAUAAAUAUUAACCUCGAGAAGUGCACACGUAAAAGUGAAGUAUUAAAAGACAACCUUUGCAGAUAGACAUGAAGUUAUUCGGCAUCAUAGUCCUUGUUGCUCUGUUGAUUGUGGCCUCGGUUACAAUGCCAGCUGAUGCCUAUGGAAGACAUAGCAGAGAACAUACAGGGUUUAAAAGACAUUUCGGUGGAGGGAAUACAGAAUGGUCAUUGUGGUAAAUAUUACGGUUGCCCUAGGACUGGUGAAAGAUUCAUAAGCGGAUGAUACUUUGAAAAACAGAAAUAGCUUCAUCUUAUUUAAAAGGAAUAAAAUGAUAAAAUUUCAA